GAAAGCUGCAAGCCAGGGAACUGCUCAGGCUAGCUAGGAGGUUUCCGGUGCGCUGCAGGAAUGCCAUGCGGUCUGUGUAGCGAGUGAAGAGCUUAGGAACGUAAGAAGGAGGAUUUGGGCAUUCCACAAAUUUGUCUCUGGCGCAAGCACCGUGAUUUCAUGUCCCCUCUCUCAGCCGCUCUGCAACCAGGCGCAUGCUGAGCCGGUGGCUGCCAUCGUUAGGGACAACCAAAAGCUUUCCAGGAAAAACCCAGCCCAGGAGGCAAGAGGAUUAAGUCCUGGAUUUGAAGAAGCCAUUUUCCGUGAGCUGUCAGCAAAGUUUUAACCAGCUGCAAAACUGCUGCAGGGGAUGAGAAAUGAAUCGUGGGGUAUUUUGCACUUUGUUCUUCACUAAGAAAAGAUCCUUCUUCAAACGCAUUCUGGCCAGUUCUCCAGAAGGUGCGAUCCAGCUCUUCCUGCGUGAAAGGCACUGGACCAUCCAACACUUCCCGCAUGCUGAGCCAAUGGCUCCCAUCCACCGGCACCACCAGCAGCUUCCCACCAGCAGCCAAGCUGAGCAUGGACAGGAGCAGAACCAGCGUCGCUGUGACUCGUGCAUGAGCACUGAGCAC